AGUGAACGCUGGCGGUAGGCCUAACACAUGCAAGUCGAACGGCAGCACAGUAAGAGCUUGCUCUUACGGUUGGCGAGUGGCGGACGGGUGAGGAAUACAUCGGAAUCUACUUUUUCGUGGGGGAUAACGUAGGGAAACUUACGCUAAUACCGCAUACGACCUACGGGUGAAAGCAGGGGAUCUUCGGACCUUUCGCGAUUGAAUGAGCCGAUGUCGGAUUAGCUAGUUGGCGGGGUAAAGGCCCACCAAGGCGACGAUCCGUAGCUGGUCUGAGAGGAUGAUCAGCCACACUGGAACUGAGACACGGUCCAGACUCCUACGGGAGGCAGCAGUGGGGAAUAUUGGACAAUGGGCGCAAGCCUGAUCCAGCAAUACCGCGUGGGUGAAGAAGGCCUUCGGGUUGUAAAGCCCUUUUGUUGGGAAAGAAAAGAAGUAGGUUAAUACCCCGCUGUUCUGACGGUACCCAAAGAAUAAGCACCGGCUAACUUCGUG
rnacentral:rRNA from 1 species